rnacentral:rRNA from 1 species
UACGGGGGGAGCAAGCGUUGUUCGGAUUUACUGGGCGUAAAGGGCGCGUAGGCGGUCAGUGCAAGUCAGUUGUGAAAUCUCCGGGCUUAACUCGGAAAGGUCAACUGAUACUGCUCGACUAGAGUGCGGAAGGGGCAACUGGAAUUCUUGGUGUAGCGGUGAGAUGCGUAGAUAUCAAGAGGAACACCUGCGGCGAAGGCGGGUUGCUGGGCCGACACUGACGCUGAUGCGCGAAAGCUAGGGGAGCGAACGGG